rnacentral:rRNA from 1 species
UACGGAGGGUGCUAGCGUUGUUCGGAAUUACUGGGCGUAAAGCGCGCGUAGGCGGACCUGCAAGUCGGGGGUGAAAGCCCGAGGCUCAACCUCGGAACUGCCUUCGAUACUGCGGGUCUCGAGUCCGAGAGAGGUGAGUGGAAUUCCUAGUGUAGAGGUGAAAUUCGUAGAUAUUAGGAAGAACACCAGUGGCGAAGGCGGCUCACUGGCUCUGUACUGACGCUGAGGCGCGAAAGCGUGGGGAGCAAACAGG